CUUUGUUCGACCGACGCGAACUCCACAAUUUGAUCGAGUUGGGUUCGGCUCCCCUCUCCCUCUCUCUCGCUCUCUCGGGACACAUACAUGCCGGAGCUACGGUUGCCUUUCCGUCCCAAAUCUGGGAAGCGACCGCUUCUGCUGUCGCUCGGAGGUGGCGGAUCACGAGAAGGGUCUGAAUUCUAACAGAAGCGAAGAUUGGGGGGUUUUGUCUCCUCUGAGUUCUUUAGAGCAUUUCGUGUUACACUGCGUAAUUCCUUCAAGUUGCAUCCGGACUUCGCAGAGCAGAUCUCCCACGUUCUACUGUGAUGAUCUCUUCAUGUCUCACCCGGAUUCCUCGGAAAAGGUACGAGGGCGUGGUCGCGUUUCUUGUGCUGACUGCGUGAUCCCGUCGAGUCCCGCCCCGCAAUCCGUUGAUAAGAGAAGGUACGAAGGUUUGGUCUCCUUCUGAGUUCUUGAACCGUUCCUUGUGUGUUUCACGGCGCGAUUCCUCCAAAUUCUCUCAUGUUCUCGUUGAGACUCCUCUGCAAAGUUUGCUUCUUUGGAUCAAUUGUGGGGCUUGGAAGAUGAUGUCCAGAGAUCCGCUAAAGCUUGGAUCUUUCUCUUUUGAAUGUAUGGGGUGCAAGAAAUCAUAAUUCCGGAAGCUAUGAGAUCUGCAGACACUUGGCAUCUAGGGUUCUUGGUAGCAAUUUGGUUCCGGUUCCCCUUUUUCGAUGAUGGAACAGGUGGUUUACCCAUCUUUCACUUCCAAAGAGACCAUGAAAAAGAAUGUAUCUUCUUCUUGCUUGUGACACAUGGAACCCUACUUGAUGUGGAAUUUGCCCCAAUUUGAGUCUGUAGACUAAAUUCUUUGUGGCAUUUGUUAAGCUUCUCAAUGGUAGUGAGUAUUUCCUGUUUUUUUUUGUUUUCAUUAUUAAGAAUGUAAUUGAAUAUAUGUUAUCUAAUCUACACAGAUAACUGUAGUAUGAUUGCCCAUUUGAAUUCACUACCUUACUACUACUA